rnacentral:rRNA from 1 species
ACCCCUAUUAGGGGAGUGAAAUAGAACCUGAAACCGCAUGCCUACAAUCAGUCGAAGCUCUUUUUAGAGUGACGGCGUACCUUUUGUAUAAUGGGUCAGUGACUUAAUUUAUUAAGCAAGCUUAAGCCAUCUAGGUGUAGGCGCAGCGAAAGCAAGUCUUAAUAGGGCGAUUAGUUUAAUGAAUUAGACCCGAAAACGAAUGAGCUUACCAUGAGCAGGUUGAACGCAAGGUAACACUUGCCGGAGGACCGAACCAGUUGACGUUGAAAAGUCUUUGGAUGACUUGUGGUAAGGGGUGAAAGGCCAACCAAAUUCGUAGAUAGCUGGUUUUCCGCGAAAACUAUUUAGGUAGUGCGUUGAAUAAAUAUGCGUUUAGAGGUAGAGCACUAAAUGGGCUAGGGGGAAGAGAUUCUUACCAAACCUAAUAAAACUCCGAAUGCUGAACGUAGUUCUUCAACAGACAGACUGUGGGUGCUAAGGUCCAUGGUCGAGAGGGAAAAAGCCCAGACCACCAGAUAAGGUCCCCAAAUUAUGAUUAAGUGUGAAAGGAUGUGGAAAUUCCUUAACAGCCGGGAGGUUGGCUUAGAAGCAGCCAUCCUUUAAAGAUAGCGUAACAGCUCACCGGUCUAAUAGAGUUUCUGCGCCGAAGAUGUAACGGGGCUAAAAUCAUAUACCGAAUCUGUGGGUUUAUAAAAUUUUCGAAUUUUAUAAGCGGUAGCGGAACGUUCUGUAAGCCUGUAAAGGAGUACCCGUGAGGGACUCUGGAGGUAUCAGAAGUGCGAAUGCUGACAUAAGUAACGAUAAACGAAGUGAAAAACUUCGUCGCCGAAAAUCCAAGGGUUUCUGCGCAAGGUUAAUCCGCGCAGAGUUAGUCGGCCCCUAAGGCGAGGGCGAAAGCCGUAGUCGAUGGAAAUAAGGUUAAUAUUCCUUAACCAGAUGGUAGUGACGGAUUUUGUAAGUUGUGAGUUCUUAAUGGAUUGAACUUGCUGCGAAAAAGUCCCAGGAAAUAGCUCCAUCAUAAGACCGUACCCUAAACCGACACAGGUGGAUUAAUAGAGUAUAUUUAGGCGCUUGAGAGAAUGAUGUUGAAGGAACUCGGCAAAAUGCUUCUGUAACUUCGGAAUAAAGAAGACCUUUUUUUGGGCAACCAUUAAGAGGUGGCACAAGCCAGGGAGAAGCGACUGUUUAUCAAAAACACAGGGCUCUGCUAACACGUAAGUGGAUGUAUAGGGUCUGACGCCUGCCCGGUGCUGGAAGGUUAAUGCGAUGGGUGCAAGCUCAUUUCUGAAGCCCCAGUAAACGGCGGCCGUAACUAUAACGGUCCUAAGGUAGCGAAAUUCCUUGUCGGGUAAGUUCCGACCUGCAUGAAUGGCGUAACGAUUUCUCCGCUGUCUCCAACAUCAACUCAGGAAA